AAGACCCUAGUAAAUUAAUUAUAUAGCCCCGUCAGAGCUAAGUAACAGGAUAACACCUGUGGGUCUUA
rnacentral:tRNA from 1 species